rnacentral:misc_RNA from 1 species
CAUUCAUUAGAAAAAAGAACAGAACUAAUAGAAGGUGAAGAGUUGGGGAGAGUUUCUGAAUUUGAACCUCAAGACCAAGUUAAGGAAGAAGAGAAAUCAGACAUUGAUGCUAUCAGAGAUGAUGGAAUUCCAAAAGCAGAGAAUCACCCAACAACAGAGCUCAAUGAAAAGAUUGAGCUUNNNNNNAGAUCCAAAACAAGAGCAUCGAUGAGUUAAAUGCAACUCAUUCACUGAAACAUGAAACCGG